rnacentral:rRNA from 1 species
AACGAACGCUGGCGGCAUGCCUAACACAUGCAAGUCGAACGAGACCUUCGGGUCUAGUUGCGCACGGGUGCGUAACGCGUGGGAACCUGCCCUUAGGUUCGGAAUAACUCCCCGAAAGGGGUGCUAAUACCGGAUAAUGUCUUCGGACCAAAGAUUUAUCGCCUUUGGAUGGGCCCGCGUUGGAUUAGCUAGUUGGUAGGGUAAAAGCCUACCAAGGCGACGAUCCAUAGCUGGUCUGAGAGGAUGAUCAGCCACACUGGGACUGAGACACGGCCCAGACUCCUACGGGAGGAAGCAGUGGGGAAUAUUGGACAAUGGGCGAAAGCCUGAUACAGCAAUGCCGCGUGAGUGAUGAAGGCCUUAGGGUUGUAAAGCUCUUUUACCCGGGAUGAUAAUGACAGUACCGGGAGAAUAAGCUCCGGCUAACUACGUG